GUGGGGAAUAUUGCACAAUGGGCGAAAGCCUGAUGCAGCAACGCCGCGUGAGGGACGACGGCCUUCGGGUUGUAAACCUCUUUUAGUAGGGAAGAAGCGAAAGUGACGGUACCUGCAGAAAAAGCACCGACUAACUACGUGCCAGCAGCCGCGGUAAUACGUAGGGUGCAAGCGUUAUCCGGAAUUAUUGGGCGUAAAGAGCUCGUAGGCGGUCUGUCGCGUCUGCUGUGAAAACUGGAGGCUCAACCUCCAGCCUGCAGUGGGUACGGGCAGACUAGAGUGCGGUAGGGGAGAUUGGAAUUCCUGGUGUAGCGGUGGAAUGCGCAGAUAUCAGGAGGAACACCGAUGGCGAAGGCAGAUCUCUGGGCCGUAACUGACGCUGAGGAGCGAAAGCGUGGGGAGCGAACAGGAUUAGAUACCCUGGUAGUCC
rnacentral:rRNA from 1 species